UUGAGGUUUUUUCCUAAUCAGAAUUCUUUAAGCCAGUUUAAAAUGUUUGUUCUUGCUAACAAGAAUGUUCUUUCCUUUAGUCCAGAUUAGACAUUUGGAUGGGAAAUGGGAUGUGGAGGUCUUGGCCCAACUUUCUGUGCAACCACAUGGGAACCACUUCACGCUGUGGCCCCUUGUUGCUGCACCAAACUUGACCCUGCUGUGCUUGAUUUACAGCCUGUGGGAGGUUGUUACCAUCCCUUGUCUGUUUUAGGGACAUCAGCAGGUAUGAUCCAAGACUGGGGAUUCUGGACACCACCACAGUAACCAUGGUAAAGGUCUGAGAGCCUCUUGGUCAGUUCCAAAACUCCCACUUCUUUCCACAGGGUUAGGAAAAGGUCCUUGUAGAACUGCUUUUAACUUUUAUCAUCUCUGAUAAAUCUUUUAGCACUUAUCAUCUCUGUCUCCAUGGGUGCCCCUUCCUGGUGUCCUGUUGCUUUCCAUACAUUGAGUUGUGCUGUUGUCACAAAGGAUCUGGAGACAGAUAUGUAAUUACCAAGGGUAAGACAGAUAACUGCAUGGCAGAAAAAGAGGUGUUCAAGCCUGGAAACAAGAGUUAAAAUAAAAUUAAUUUCUCUUACCCACUUUCCAAAGAUGCCAGCCUUUCUAUAUUAACUCGCCUGUCAUUAAUCUAAUAAAGCUCUACUUUGUUCAUAAUUUACUCCACUCUUGAAUAAGCCAUUCUAAUAUUUGUGCAGGGUAAGUACAUAAAUCAUUGUUGCCCUUCUCUACUUUUUUUUUUUACUUAUCUGGUUCUUUCAAGGUCAAUAACCUACCUUACAACUUUCAUCUGGUUUCAAUAUUCAGCUACUGCCUUUUACACCUCUCUUCCUUGUUCAUGUCCAUUUGGAUAGCUGCAGCUGUAUCUCCUCAAGUAGCUAUUGAUCAUGUCUCCUUGCUAAAGGUUGCUAACUGCAUCAGCAGUAAUGAUACAAAUUACAUCUGUUAGGGUUCACUCACACCUCUCUUUUAGAAGGAGAGACCACAUUCUGACUUUGUUGCUGUCGGCCAUCUCUUCUGCUUAGGGUAUCUAAAACUCAGUGAGAAAAAUUAUAAGCUGUAAAAUAUCCUCCUUCUGACACAUGUAGGCUUUCAGUGCCCAGGUCAUGCAGAGAAGCCAAUCAAUCCCUACUGACCUCCAGGAGCCUGAAAUAUAUCUGGGUAAGGCCCCAGUCAGCAAUGCACUUAAGGAUAUGCUUAUGUAAACAUAGGAUCCAUCCCCUUUUCAGUGCAAUUUGGUGAGAAGUGCAUUUCAGAGCAGGGCAUCUCCAGGGAUGCUCCUUUCUGCAAAGGUUGUGCAGGAUGAGGCUGUACCAGCUGCCAGCACGAGCCCACUCCAAGGUGUCCUGCACAGGGCAAAGCAAUUCUGUUUUGGAAUCUUUGUGUGCAUUUGUGAGUGUGAACCCUUGUCCUGUGCAGAGCUGAUGAGCUCUUAGGAGCUUGAGUUUCUCUUGCUGACUGUUUAAGAGAAAAUUUAAUUAUUUAUGAUUAGGCAGAAUAGUUGGGUGCUGCAGGACCUUACAGCUAUGCCUGCUGUGUGCUGAGAGACCAUCCUGCCUUUUGGCUUCAUCAGUUCCUUGACCCAGUUGUGCUGCUGCCACAAGACUGCCAGCUUGUACCAAAAAACACAGGAGUGGAGUUUUGUUGUGGUUUUUUUGCCAAGGAGUGAGGCUGGUAUAGAAGAAAACAGGGCUAGAAAGGACCUGAAGAGGUCACCUCAUCCACCCCACACAAACCCCUCCUGACCUGUUUGUCUCAAGUGUUUUUUUAACCCCGUCAGCCGUGGAGAUCCCCCAGCCUGCCCAGGCAAUCCCCUCCAGUGCCCAAUGACCCUUUCAGCAGGGAAGUUAUUCUAGUUCUGAACUCAGGUCUCCCUUGCUGCAUUUAAACCCAUUACUUUUUUUGUGCUCUCCCUGUGGAUGUGGAUAACAAUUUAUUGCCUUCCUCUUUGCAUAAGCCAUUUCUAUAAUUGAAGACUGUUAUCAUGUCUCCUCUCUGUCUUCCCUGCUCUAGACUAAAUAGCCCAGAUAGGAUGAAAGCUGGAAUGGGGUGUCAGGGAGAAGGAGUUAGAGGAGGAAAUCAGAGAGGGAUUAAUCCUGCUUUCAGUCCCUGUAGAAACAGACUUUUCCUUCUGAAGGAUGGGGAUGUGGGAGGGGUAAACAGGAUUCUCAGUGCUGCUGAUUCACUAAUUCAGCUCUGUGAAAUGUGUACCUGAUUGAUGGGCCACUGCCUCACAGACUAAGGAAGAAGGGCUUGGACUGACCCUGCCAUCCAGCCUCUGUGCUUGGAAAUGAAGGCUUUAAUUUCUUACAUUGCUGAGGAGCGUAUCCAGCUCACACCUCAGCUCCUGUGAGAUGUAUCUGGUGAAGUUUCUGUGCAUCACAAAAUCUGCUUCCAGGUGCUGUGUGUGCUCUACAAUCAGACAACAUGGUGAUGGAGCACCACCACCAUCCAGGCUGCCCACCAUGAGCCCUGCCAGGGAGCAGGACUCCUCUGCUCUGCUGGCAGAAUGUUGUUUCUGCUGCCCUGACCCUGGCUCUGCUUCCCACCCAUGGGCAGCAUGGGAAGCCACUCACCACACACGCUGCCUACAUGUGUUUCAGCUGCCUACAUGUUUACAGCUUGAUUGCUGUUCAUAAAGCAGCACGUGGAAGAGUGAUGCAGAAAGCCCUGGGGUGUAUUAUGUCAGUGUCACAUACAUUAAGGAAGUACAGCUCACAGUGACUUCUCGUGCUCAGAGCCCUUUCCAUUAUUCACAGCUGCUGUCAGAGCUGCAGCACGAAUGCAGCCAUUGCUGUCACAACCUGAAACAAAAACACCUCCCAGACUGGAGACUUCCAAAAGCACAAGGUGGAGGAAAAAAAUGUUUCUUUACUACUUAAUGCUCUGAAACAGCUUUUGGUGACAGUUCUGCCUUGCUCCAAGCGCUCCAAGAACAGCACGUAAGGUGGAGCUGUUUUCCCUAGACUCCUGGUGACAUGGGAUCACUGGAUUAUUUACAUCAGAAAAGGGCUGGCCUUGAAGAAAGCAAAAUAUUAGAUGCUGCUUGGGACAGCAGGAAAGUUCACUGCAUUUCAAGUGCACUGCAGACUAACUCCAGCACUGCCAGUCUCUCUUCCUCCCCCACUGGCUCAUCAGUCAGCUGUUUAGACUUUCCAGUCCAAUUUCACAGUUAAAACAAUCUUGACAAAUUGCAAUCCAAUUGUUUAGUUGGUUUUAUUUUUUUUUUAAUCUUUUUUUGCUUCCUUCUCAGAGUGACUUUGAAGAUGACAUUUGUAUUUGUGAAUUAAAACCACAUUUGCCCAAUCUGCAGAGGGAGGAGGCAGGGGCAGAAGAGAGAAGAAAAGCUUUUGUUCUCCUCCUCAUACUGACCCCUCACCUGCCAGGGCCAAGCUCCAAAAUAAUUUCUAACAGCUGAGGUUAGUCAGGGACACCUAAUCCCGGAAAGCUGGCUCUGAAUUGCAGCACCAGCACACAGUGGUUGAGUUUCAUCAACAGCCAUUCACAUCUAAUUCUCCCAAACCUCUGAAGUUGCACCUGUCAAGAUCCCGCUCUGGAACAGAAGAUCAGAGCAAACGGGGGCUGAGCAGAACAAAAGCUGACCCAAACCUUUGACCUAAAUUUAACAUGAAGCCAAAUGAAACCUUAGAGAUUUUCUGCUUCUGAACUCCUCUGAAGUCCUCCCCAGUGUCAAGGCUGGACUGGGUGGUGUGUCCCUGUCCCAGUGUCUGACAGCAGUGAUGGCACCUUGUUCAGACAUUCCUGACCAAAACACCUCCAGAGUAUCUGCUGGGUGCCUUUGUCUUUGGAGGUUUGGAUAGUCCUGUCCAUGCACUAAGCACUAUUCAACUCCUGAAAAGAGAAUAAGGACUGUGACAGAAAGGUGCUGGCUGAGAUCAAUGGACCAUCACUGCAGGGCUAGUAAAUCCAAUGGACACAGAAAUCAGGCAAAGAAGAAAUUAUCCUAUUUUCUUUUUUCAGCCCAAGUUAGAAGGGGGAAAUUCUGUGUGUUGGCCUAUUGACAAAUGUUUUGAUUGUCAAAACUUAGAAAACUUUUAUUUCUCUCACAACUUGUCUUGGAUCCACUGGUGUGGAUAUUUCAUCUAUCUGUUUCUAGAAACAUACAGAGCAUGAAUUACUGGAAAUGAAGCAAAAUCUACCAGACAUAAACUCAGCGCAUCCUCUGUAGCUCAUAUUCUCUGAAGACUCAUUUGUCCUUUUCAUCUUUUGAGAUAUUUCCUCUCUUCUCUCUGGCCUGUUCUCAUUAUUUGUUUCAUCAGCCAUUUGUUAUACAACUCUUGGCAAAGUAUCAGGGAAACCUUCCUGACUGUGAAUGGGGAAGAGCUUUCUUAAGGGAACAACAACAUUCUUUACCUGGGAGAGCAGAAAACAAGUCAAGCCCAAAUAUUGUCUUUGCUGAGACAAAGUUUGUGAGCACAGUGAUGUGCUUUGUCGGACUAAGGGGUGCAGCUGAUGAAGCUUGUUCUGUUGGGAUUCUCUUUGGUUCCUUAAAAGGUUUAAGGUGUUAUUUCUCCCUGUGAAACUUGCCUGACUGCUGUGCCAGUGGUCAGGAAGGCAGUGGUGGCAGGAUGGACUGAGCUGCUGUCUGGUUGAGCUGAGCUCCCUGUGUGUGGCUCCAUGGGGGCGGUGAGCCUUCUCAUCCAGGGGUGGGGAUGCCUUCCUGGCUACAGGCAUCCCAGACAGUCAUUAAAACAAGCAAACUGCAUGUUUCAUCUCUCCUGGGUCCACAGCUUCCUCAGCCCAGACGAGAUGCCUUAGACCCAGUCUGAGCCACAAUAAACUUUUCACUUUGCAGUUUCACCCAAGGCUUGACUUUGCCCUGGGAUUAUCCUGAGAUUCCUCUGCUUCAGGUCUGUUGGGUUCCUCUCUGUCUCCUCUCCAGCUAAAAGUUUAUAGCAGAGCAGUACAAGCAUGUCCUAAAUUCAGAGCAAACUGAAGGAAAGGCAGCUGCAGCUCCCAGCCUGCCAGAGAGACUCCCCUGGCAGGUCUCUGACGAGUUUCUACAAGUUCACUCCAACCAGCAAUUCUGGCCAAAGCAAAAUUUUGCAUGAAGUUCAUAUUAGUUCAUACUAGCUCACGUUGCCAGCAAUUCAGUAGCUCCUUCUCAGUGCUUGAGUCUCAGUUGAAAGAUUUAUGUGCACUUGCCAUGCAGCCUCUCUGAGAAAGUCAUGAAGGUGGGCAAACAUUUAGUUUUCCCAAAUAUCAUGGUGUAAGUGAGUUGUGUAAUAUCUUCUGGAAAGACUGAAGAUUUUAAGUCCUAAUACAGAGUUGUCAUCUCUGUAAUAGCAGAUGUAAUACCAAUGUAAAGAUGUAAUAGCAUCUAGAUUAACUUCCAAAGCAGUAAAGGACACAGUAAAAGUAGUUUUAUAUAGUAAUUUUCAUUUCCACUCACUGAAUCAGUGCGGUCUUACAUCUAUUGAAUAACCCAAUAUUUAUAAAACCUUUCCUUUAAAAGAAUUUCUAAUGCUUUAACUGCAUGCAUUAAAACUCAUUUUGUGUGUUUUAAAUGAAUUAUAACCUAUUCAAAAGCACUUUCUCACCCUAAAGCACUCUGUGCAUUAUAGUCUCUGUAAUACCUUCAGCUGCUACAGAGAUCUCGCAGAGAUGAGGAUAUUCAUGAUAAAUAGAUUUGGGGUUUUUUUCAUGUUCAUUUAAUUUUGUACAUUUGCUAAAAGAGUAAAAAAAAUCCAUGUUAUUCAAAUUUUGGAGAAGGGUUGGUCGAAAAAUCUCUAUUUAGUUCCUUUUGAGUCACAGUGAGUUUCAGUGAGUUUUUAAUGAAUGGCAGUAUGCAAAUACUAGCCACAUAACCAACAUUUUCUGUCCUCUCCUGACUUAUUGUAGAUUAACAAGGAUGAAUUACUGUCCCACCCCUUGUGCUAGGUUAACUCUGUGUGGUCUGGGCUAAGACUGAGCCAAACCCAGUCCUCAACUGGAGCUGGACCUGGCAGUGGCUCCUCAGCUCCCCAUCAAUUACAGCAGUGCAAAAAGCACUGCUGCAUCCAGUGACCUGCUCACACACUGCUGGGGAUGCACCCUCAGCUGCUGGAGCAAAGCCCACCUCCAUCCUGCUGGAAAGGCUUUGCAAAGAGGAAGCAAAAUCCUGCCCAGUGCGGUGAGGAGCAGACAGAGGCUUUUUGGGGGUGUCUGUGGGAAGGGGGGUUUGCUGUGCCCAGGAAUGGGAGGCAUGUCUGCAGUGGGAGGCAGCGCUCACAGGGCUCCCCACUCUCACCAUUGAGCAUUGUUCACAGCAAACAUAGAUGCUGUAUAUGGAUGCAAAGCUUAAUUUGUGGUUUUUACACCCACCACAUUUCUUGGAGUUGACAAUUUCUAGAACUUUGGGACUUUUUAUCUCCAGGCUGUUGUUUUCUUCGGGUUUUUUUCCUUCAUUUUAUAGGGAGCUAGCAGCCCAUCUUUUUUCAUAAUGAAACAGCAAGCAAACAAACCAACCCACGCUUUGGACAAAGCAGCUGUGUAAUGCUGUCCUCCCCUCAAAAGUGUACAAAUCUGCAGGGCAGUGGGGACACAUGUUGGGUUGGUAUAACACAGUACAGCUGCACCAUGACACUGCUUGGGUGGAUGCUGAGAAAUCUAUAGGAAUUCCCCAGAGAAAUGUGGAGUUGGGGGGGAAAAAGUCUGCUCUAUCCACUGUUCCACUUUGCUGGAAAAUCCACUGCCCAACAGUGAGAAUAGAGUGACUUAUUUUUCAGAAGUGCCUUGGGCCAGCUGUGACUGAAUGGUUGUUUCUUGCUCCUGAUAGUUCCCAAAAUGUUCGGGGCAUUUUCCAGGUGGAAGAAAGUUAAAGAGACACAAAAGAAAGAAGAAGAAGAUUCAACUCAGCAGUUGUUUAGAAUAAGUGGAAUCUAAUUUAUUCUAAAAUUUCAGCCCUUUCUGAUGACUUCACAGUUUUAAAGAAAAAAGUAUUUUUGAGCUCUCCUAGGCAUGCUGAAAAGCUCCUUGUUCCUCCUGCUCUGUGGCAGAAGAUGCUGCAUUAGGACUUGUACAAGGCUUUGACACGAGGUAUGUAAUGCUCACUUCUGAAAACAAAACUAAUAUUUUCUCUGAGGAUGGAAAAAGAAUGAGCCAGUCACCCUUUCUCUGGGAAUUUCCAGCCAAAGGGAGUAGUUAUGUACUUCAAGUACUUCAAUUCAUUGGUGAGUGGGCAGAGUAUGGAUUGUUGGAUCCUCUUGUUGGACAUGGAGUGAGAGACAUGUGGGGAUGGCAGGACUGUGUCACCUCGUGCUCUACCAUCAUCAGCUGUGUGGCUUUGGCAGACAUUGUGAAUCACAACCUUUCCAAACACUACUGUACCCUGACCUGCCCCAAUCCUUCUCUCAAAGCUGUCCCUUCCUCCUUUACCAGCCAGAACUGUGAGUUUGAGUACAUGAAGAAACAAAACCAGACAGAACUGACUGGAAAAAACCUGCAGCCCCAGAUAGGUGUUGAUGGACAUUCUCCACUGGCUGAAAGUUUCUUAUCUAGUUUCAAGGACACUUUUAUUUUUAAAUCUCUUUUCCAUUGGACAUGUAUGUGUGAAGUCAGGUAGCAGGCACAGAGGCUGGAUCAGAAAUACCCACAAGAUGCCUGAUUUCUAUUGUACUCCAUAAUUAUAGUAGCAUACACUUUGGACUGACAGCAUUUCUCAGCAACAGAGUACUUUAGAAAUAUUAAUCUCACAUCAGCUAUUUGUGUUGAAUAUUGGCUUAUUCAGCAGCUGAUGUGAGCCAAUAUUAUCAUACUUUUAUGGACAGCAAAACAGAGAAAGAAAGAUUAAGUGACCCACCUAAGGUGAAGCAGUAUGUCCAAGAGAAAACCUAGUAAAGCUUGGGGAUUACUGCCUCCCAGUGAAGGAGAAAUGUCUGCAAUACUUCAGCUUUAGACAGCAACAGCCAGAUCCUCCAAAAUGUCACUGUGUUCCUCCUUGUGCAAGUCCCAAAGACUCAAAUUUCUUAAAGGAGAGAUGAAUUCUCUGCUGGUAAUUAAUAUAAGCUGUGAUUAGCUUGUGAUUUGGCAAAAAUGGCCAAAGGCUUGACUCUUUUAACCUUGCCUUCUCACUAUUCAGUAUUUCCCAUCCUGUGAGCUGAGAGGGACUCAUAUAGAUGGGGCUGUUCCCCAGUUAUGGGCAUGGGCUGCACGAUGAGGAACAGAAGUUCUGUGUCCAUGCAACUCCUACAACAUCAAAUCUCAAGGUAACAGCAUCUCUUAAAUUGAACACUGAUGUUGUAGGAACUUUAGUAAACUAAUUUUUCCUUGAACAGUUGAGUAAACUUCAGAAGAAAAAGGUUUACAUUGAGAAAUUGGCUAAUAAUAGGGAUAAGAUAACUUUACAUAGGAGGAAAAAAGCCUUUUGUUCCUGGACUUUCUUCUCUUACAUCACUUUAUGGAUACCAUUCAAGGAAGCAAUCUCUGCAGAAUAAUUCUAAGUGUUAACUAAUUAUGUUUCGACAAAAAUGAGCAGGGUCUCAGAUUUUACUUGGCUUGGAUGUCUAAAGGCAAAUUAUAAGUUACGUAAUAAAACAACAGAAUCAUUCAAGAUUGAUUUACUUGUUUAUUUUGCUAUAAGAAAUGAAAUUUUUAUUGGAACGA